UGGCAACAGAGAGAACAUACCAGAUUUCUACUUUUAACUUCUUCUUAGCUAUGUGAGAGUGCUACUAAAUGAAACGAAGAACUGCAAACAUCUGUGAUUCAAAACUGCUUGCCAAAUACAGUGUGUCACGAUUUAUUUAGUCCAAAUCUACGUAACGAGAUGGACAAGGCUCAACGCUAAAACAUAAGAGCAAAGGAACGUGAACGAGAGCGAAAGAGAGGAAAAAUGUUGAUUCGUCGAGCAAAUGGAAAGCGACGAGAUCUAAAUGAAGAACUUAGCCUGCCUUAACUGCGGUUGAAUUACAUGGCCGCUGCUUAACGCGUCCCAAGCCGCGUUAAUUACGUUAAACUACCGGCAGGAAUUAAUUUCGUAGCACGGAGCUUUAUCUUAGAAAGCAUAGAUAAGAAAUGGCGUGCGAUAAAGUGAACCUGGCUGCCCUUGUCACGCCACCAAAUUAUUUGAUUCGCGUCGCCUUAAAUAAGGAAGAAUUAAGAACGAUGGGACAAGCAACGACAGCAGAAAGCCAUCAUCGAAAUUGGGAAAUUCGACGUCGUUCAACGAAACGAGGUUCCAUCGAAUUAAUUAUCGAGUGUUGUUAAUUAUUGGACUCGGCCAAUAAAACGUAUCCCCAUAAGCCAACCAUUGGCACAUGGGAAUGAGGACGAAGAGAGGAAAAACGAAACAAAGGCCCUUCGUGAUCGAGCGGGUAAGAGGGACCGCAUUUGCGCGAUGGAAAAUUUGCAAAACACCGAAUUUCGAUUACCCAUACGCGUGGUGAGAGUUAAAAAUACCAGAGGGAAUGAAUUAUAAUUAUCAAAUGGUACGAACGGCGUAUGGACACGUCCUCGAAAAUUAAAGUAGUUUAAAAUUAAAAUAGUGGUCGCAGUCGAAACGACUACGCGGUCUAUUAAUUGAGUCGUUACAAACGACUAACGUCGUUACUAAAUUCAUUGUGCUGGUUACAGUAACUUAUCCCGAUUCUUUACGAAGUAAAGGAAUUAGGAUUAUUAACACAUGCUUUUUAAGAAAUCAACGAGCCAUUGGGUUGAAUAGUUAGCAUUUGGUCUGGUAAAAUAGUCAAAUUUGAUUGAAUACAAUUGACAUUAAAAUUUACGUUAUAUAAUUUACUACGUCAAUAAAUUUACGUUGUAUUGAUAGUUAAUUAUUAAUAUAUACGAAAAGAUCUUGUAAUAAACGAAAGGCUGUAAUUGGGAAAUGCGAGUAUAAAUUAGAAAGUACAAAUUAUA